AGUGAACGCUGGCGGUAGGCUUAACACAUGCAAGUCGAACGGCAGCACCGUAGUGUUUGCGCUUACGGGUGGGGCGUGGCGGUCGGGAGAGGGAUACUUCCGAACCCACUUUUUUGUGGGGGCUUACGUAGGGUAACUUUCGUUAAUACCACAUACGACUUACGGGUGAAAGCAGGGGAUAUUUGGACCCUGUUCGUUUGAAUCUGCCGACGUCGGAUUAGCUAGUUGGCGGGGUAACGGACCACCAAGGUGACGAUUCGUAGAUGGUCUGAGGGGAGGAUCGGCCACACUGGAACUGAGACACGGUCCAGACGCCUACGAGAGGCAGCAGUCGGGAAUGUUAGACAAUGGUCGCAAACCUGAUCCAGCCAUACCGCGUGGGUGAAAAAGGCCUUCGGGUUGUAAAGCCGUUUUGUUGGGAGAGAAAAGCAGCAGGUUGAUACCCCGCUGUUCUGACGGUAACCAGAGAAUAAGCACCGGCUAACUUCGUG
rnacentral:rRNA from 1 species